rnacentral:misc_RNA from 1 species
AUUAAAUGAAUACCACAAAUAGGGGGUUUAUUGUUGUAUUUAAGCUUAAAUCAUGUCAUGUUUAAGUGAUAAAUACUUCCUAAUUUGACUAAUAUAGCAUCAACAUAAUUUUUAUUUCGGCUCCUAUGGAUAUUUAACGUGUAUUGUUUCUUAAAUAUGAGGUGUUGUGUACAAAGUUGUAUUAAUGAUACAAGAAGAACGACAAAAAGUCAUGGAAUUACAUUUCAUAUGUUUCCAAAAGAGGUGAGCCUUAGGACUGCGUGGAUUGAAGCCCUCGGUCUCAACGAAUGGGAGCCAAAGGAAAGAAGCGCCGUCUGUUCUGAACAUUUUCAACAAGAUGCCUUCUACGAAACGAAAUGUGGCCUGAGGAGGAUUAAAAAUGGCGCUUUGCCGCU